rnacentral:rRNA from 1 species
AUUGAACGCUGGCGGCAGGCCUAACACAUGCAAGUCGAACGGUAACAGGAAGAAGCUUGCUUCUUUGCUGACGAGUGGCGGACGGGUGAGUAAUGUCUGGGAAACUGCCUGAUGGAGGGGGAUAACUACUGGAAACGGUAGCUAAUACCGCAUAACGUCGCAAGACCAAAGAGGGGGACCUUCGGGCCUCUUGCCAUCGGAUGUGCCCAGAUGGGAUUAGCUAGUAGGUGGGGUAACGGCUCACCUAGGCGACGAUCCCUAGCUGGUCUGAGAGGAUGACCAGCCACACUGGAACUGAGACACGGUCCAGACUCCUACGGGAGGCAGCAGUGGGGAAUAUUGCACAAUGGGCGCAAGCCUGAUGCAGCCAUGCCGCGUGUAUGAAGAAGGCCUUCAGGUUGUAAAGUACUUUCAGCGGGGAGGAAGGGAGUAAAGUUAAUACCUUUGCUCAUUGACGUUACCCGCAGAAGAAGCACCGGCUAACUCCGUG